GACGUAGGGCGCGAGCGUUGUCCGGAUUUAUUGGGCGUAAAGAGCUCGUAGGCGGCUCAUUGCGUCAACCGUGAAAUCUCACAGCUCAACUGUGGGUCUGCGGUUGAUACGGGUGGGCUGGAGUUCGGUAGGGGAGACUGGAAUUCCUGGUGUAGCGGUGAAAUGCGCAGAUAUCAGGAGGAACACCGGUGGCGAAGGCGGUUCUCUGGGCCUUACCUGACGCUGAGGAGCGAAAGCAUGGGGAGCAAACAGG
rnacentral:rRNA from 1 species